GAUUCGCGGCCUAUCAGCUUGUUGGUGAGGUAAUGGCUCACCAAGGCAACGACGGGUAGCCGGCCUGAGAGGGCGACCGGCCACACUGGGACUGAGACACGGCCCAGACUCCUACGGGAGGCAGCAGUGGGGAAUAUUGGGCAAUGGAGGAAACUCUGACCCAGCGACGCCGCGUGCGGGAUGAAGGCCUUCGGGUUGUAAACCGCUUUCAGUAGGGAAGAAGCGAAAGUGACGGUACCUACAAAAGAAGCACCGGCUAACUAUGUGCCAGCAGCCGCGGUAAUACAUAGGGUGCAAGCGUUGUCCGGAAUUAUUGGGCGUAAAGAGCUCGUAGGUCGUUUGUUACGUCGGAUGUGAAAACCUGAGGCUCAACCUCAGGCCUGCAUUCGAUACGGGCAAACUAGAGUUUGGUAGGGGAGACUGGAAUUCCUGGUGUAGCGGUGGAAUGCGCAGAUAUCAGGAGGAACACCAAUGGCGAAGGCAGGUCUCUGGGCCAAUACUGACACUGAGGAGCGAAAGUCUGGGGAGCGAACAGGAUUAGAUACCCUGGUAGUCCAGACCGUAAACGGUGGGCACUAGUUGUGGGAACCUUCCACGGUUUCUGCGACGCAGCUAACGCAUUAAGUGCCCCGCCUGGGGAGUACG
rnacentral:rRNA from 1 species